rnacentral:rRNA from 1 species
AACAAACGCUGGCGGCGUGCCUAAUACAUGCAAGUCGAACGGGGAAAGCUUUCGGGUGAGUACUAGUGGCGCACGGGUGAGGAACGCGUGGGUAAUUUUCCUUGAAGUGGGGGAUAACUAGUCGAAAGAUUAGCUAAUACCGCAUAAGACCACGAAAUCUGAGGAUUUUGAGGUAAAAGGUUUUUCGCUUCAAGAUAAGCCCGCGUAAGAUUAGCUAGUUGGUGAGGUAAUGGCUCACCAAGGCGACGAUCUUUAGCUGGUCUGAGAGGAUGAUCAGCCACACUGGAACUGAGACACGGUCCAGACUCCUACGGGAGGCAGCAGUAGGGAAUAUUGCACAAUGGAGGAAACUCUGAUGCAGCGACGCCGCGUGAGUGAUGAAGGACUUCGGUUCGUAAAGCUCUGUCGCAUGGGAAUAAUAAAUGAAGGUACCAUGCAAGAAAGGAUCGGCUAACUUCGUGCCAGCCGCCGCCGUAA